rnacentral:rRNA from 1 species
AUUGAACGCUGGCGGCAGGCUUAACACAUGCAAGUCGAGCGAUCGGCGGACGGGUGUGUAAUGUCUGGGAAACUGCCUUAUGGAGGGGGAUAACUACUGGAAACGGUCGCUAAUACCGCAUACCCUCAGAUGUGCCCAGAUGGGAUUAGCUAGUAGGUGGGGUAAUGGCUCACCUAGGCGAAGAUCCCUAGCUGGUCUGAGAGGAUGACCAGCCACACUGGAACUGAGACACGGUCCAGACGCCUACGGGAGGCAGCAGUGGGGAAUAUGGCACAAUGGGCGAAAGCCUGAUGCAGCCAGGCCGCGUGGGUGAAGAAGGCCUGCGGGUUGUAAAGCACUGUCAGCGAGGAGGCGUUACUCGCAGAAGAAGCACCGGCUAACUCCGUGCCAGCAGCCGCGGUAAUAC